CAUGCUUAACGGAGUUUUUUAAAGUAUGUUUUUGUACCGAAAGGUUUUGAUCUUAGAUUUAGUUGUUUAGAAGUGUUGUUUGGUCUGGGUAAGGUCUUGUAAACUAAAUUUAUGUGGUGAUAAGUGAGUCGUAAAGCUUUAUAACUGUUUGGUUGUUUAGAAUUUAGUGGGAUGUAGGUGGCUAUUAGGUCAUUUAUAUUUUUAUACAUUUGGUGAUGUGUGGUUUUUGAUAAGGUUAGAGGUACCUAGUUUUUGUUAUAUUGUUGUAAAUAUGGUUUUGUUGGUUUAUUGGUAUGUUAAUUGUUUGAACAACUGUUUUGUUAUAUUUGGUUAUUAUAUUAUCGUUGAAUAAGUAAUUUUAUUAUGCUAUUUAUUUCUUGAGUUCUUUCCGUCUGUUUAUUAAAAACAUUUCUAAUUUUAAUUGUAGUUAGUAGUGCCUGCCCAAUGUUGGUUAAUUAAUGGCCGCAGUAUAUUGACUGUGCAAAGGUAGCAUAAUUAAUUGCCUUUUAAUUGGAGGCUUGUUUGAAUGGUUUGACGUGAUUGGUAUGAAUAUUUGGUAUUUAGUUGAAAUUGAUUUUGAGGGUUUAGAAUCCUUAAUGUUUAAU
rnacentral:rRNA from 1 species